AUGAAGGGGAUAAAGCAUGGGGCGUGUGAUUAUUUGGUUAAGCCAGUGCAUAUAAACGAGCUAAAAAACAUAUGGCAGCAUGUUGAAAGCAGGAGAAAUACCGAAGCAAUAAGCCACAUCAGCGAGGAUGAUGAUGACGAUCAGAGAGCACAACUUGGGACUGCUGCCCACAGCAAUGAUGGAGCUAAUACUGACGAGAACAAAGAGAGCAGACAGGCAUCCACUACCCAGAAGAAGCUAAGAGUGGGAUGGACAAUUGAGCUGCAUACAAAGUUUAUGGAUGCUAUCAACCAGAUCGGCCUUUAUAGGGCUACUCCAAAGAAGAUUCUCGAGCUGAUGAAUGUGGAUUACCUCACUAGACAAAAUGUAUCGAGUCAUCUACAGGUUUAUUUUCGACCCUUGUUCUUUAUUUGUCACAUGUUUGUGUUCCAUUUAGUCAUAGUCUAA
rnacentral:rRNA from 1 species